GGAAGGAUCAUUACAAAUCGAAUGGGGGGUGGGUUGAGUUGAGCUUGGGGAUUUUCUCUCUCUCUCUCUCUCUCACUCUCAUAUAAGCACGGAGGAUGGUGAGUGUGGUGUGGUGUGGUAUGGAGUGAUAUGGUAUGGUAUGGAGUGAUUUGGAUGGACGAGCUUGAACGCUUGUACACUCUGCUCACUACAUGCACACUACACUACUACAUGCACACUGCACUACACUCUUCACUCUCUGAUGUUCACGCUUGCUUGUUUGACAGAGUAUAUUACAGUGACACAUGAAUGACAACUUUUAACAAUGGAUCUCUUGGCUCUUGCAACGAUGAAGAACGCAGUAAAGUGCGAUAUGUAGUGCGAUUUGCAUGAAUCUGUGAGUCAUCUAAUCUUUGAACGCAACUUGCGCCUCUUCCGAGGCAUGUCUAUCUGAGUGUCGCAUAAACCCAUGCAGCAAUGCGAUGUGGGCCAAGCCAAGACUCUGGCUGGACCAAAAUGAAGCAAGACAGUGGAUCCGUGAUAUCCUUGGUGCCGAGUGCUAAGCAUUCUCAGUGCCGGGACACGGAGCCACGUGGGAUCAUCAUCAAUCCCCUCUUCUUACCCUGACCUCAGAUUAGGCAAGAUCACCCGCUGAACUUAAGCAUAUCAGUAAGCGGAGGAAAAGAAACUAACAAGGAUUCCCCUAGUAACGGCGAGUGAAGCGGGACCAGCUCAAAGUUAAAAUCUCGGCGCAUGCGCGUCGCGAAUUGUAGACUAAAGAAGGCAAUCUCUAGGACACCAGUGAUGAUCAAGUCCCUUGGAACAGGGCGCCAGAGAGGGUGAGAGCCCCGUAGGAUCAUUAAAGGGCGUCCCAAGUGAGGGCCUCUCUACGAGUCGAGUUGUUUGGGAAUGCAGCUCAAAGUGGGUGGUAAAUCUCAUCUAAGGCUAAAUACAGGCAAGAGACCGAUAGCGAACAAGUACCGUGAGGGAAAGAUGAAAAGCACCUUGAAAAGGGAGUUAAACAGUGCGUGAAAUUGUUAAAAGGGAAACGAUAGAGACCAGUGUUGGUUGACGAGCCAAGCGGGUGCCUCGGUGCACGUAGCACUCGACGACCGAGUCAAUGACAGUUGCUCGUGUCGGAUACGCAGGCCGGGAAGGUGGGGUGGUCCCUCGGGACGGCUCUUUAUAGACUGGCAUUGCUGCGGCAGGGGCGACUGGAGAGGAUAGCGGGGGGACACGGCGGCACGGGUAGGGGACAGCUAGGGGGGACGACAGCAUGCUGACGGCCUCGAUUAGCGGACCCAUUCGACGGGCGGCCUAGCCCCUCGCGCCCUUGACGAAAUGGUCUUUAGCGACCCGUCUUGAAACACGGACCAAGGAGUCUAACAAGCUUGCGAGCGUUCGAGUGGCAAACUCUAGACGCGCAACAAACGUGAUAACCUGCCAACCCUACACGGUGCAGCAGGGACCGGCCUGGGGACAACUCCCCGGGACCGAGUAAGAGCAGAAUUGUUGGGACCCGAAAGGCGGUGAACUAUGCCUGACUAGGGCGAAGCCAGAGGAAACUCUGGUGGAGGCUCGUAGCCGUUCUGACGUGCAAAUCGAUGGUCAAAGUUGGGUAUAGGGGCGAAAGACUAAUCGAACCGCCUAGUAGCUGGUUCCCUC
rnacentral:misc_RNA from 1 species